CUUCAAAUUGCAGCUAAUGACAAUAGAAUUUGGUUGGCGAGCUAACUUGUCCACAUCAUCAAUACCAAUAACAUCUAUCUUGUUGUAAACAUAUAUACAUUUCAUGUAUUUGCGGUUACCCUCAAUGACAUCGAUGAGAUCAUCAACUGUGGCAUCCUCACGAAAUAGCACCUCUGCAUUGUGAAUUUUGUAUUCAUGUAAAAUUUGAUAACAGAGCUUCUCAUCUACAUGAGUUAAAGGUAUAGUGCUGUUGAAAGAGAUGCCACCAGUUUUUUUCUUCUUGAAGUAAAUUUGAGGUGGUCUCUUGUUCAAACGCAAACCCACAGCUUCCAGUUCUCUCGUCAAUAUUUGCCGAUGGCCCUCACUUUUUGAGGCAUCGAGAACCAUUAACACUAUGUCUGAAGACUUGGAAACAGC
rnacentral:misc_RNA from 1 species